UUGAUCCUGGCUCAGAACGAACGCUGGCGGCGUGGCUAAGACAUGCAAGUCGAACGGACUGUCUGGAUGAGUAAUCUGAAAGACAGUUAGUGGCGAAAGGGUUAGUAAUGGAUAGGUAACGUACCCCGAGCUCCGGAAUAGCCAUUCGAAAGGGUGGGUAAUACCGGAUAAUACCAUGUGCCCCAAGGUAUAUGGUCAAAGAUUUAUCGGCACGGGAGCGGCCUGUCUCCCAUCAGUUUGUUGGUGAGGUAACGGCUCACCAAGGCAGCGACGGGUAGCGGGACUGAGAGGUUGACCCGCAACAUCGGGACUGAGACACUGCCCGGACCUCCACGGAGGGCUGCAGUAACGAAUAUUGCGCAAUGGGCGAAAGCCUGACGCAGCGACGCCGCGUGUAGGAUGAAGUCCCUCGGGAUGUAAACUACUGUCAGGGGUUAGAAAGUCCGGUUCGCCGGAUUGAUCGGCCCCAGAGGAAGUCACGGCUAACUUCGUGCCAGCAGCCGCGGUAAUACGAAGGUGGCUAGCGUUGUUCGGUGUCACUGGGCUUAAAGCGUGUGUAGGCGGAAAAGAAAGCGUUUUGUGAAAGCCCCCGGCUUAACCGGGGAACUGCAAGACGAACUGCUUUUCUUGAGGCAAGCAGGGGUGCGUGGAACUCUUGGUGGAGCGGUGGAAUGCGUAGAUAUCAAGAGGAACGCCGGUGGUGAAGACGACGCACUGCGCUUGUCCUGACGCUGAGACACGAAAGCGUGGGGAGCGAACGGGAUUAGAUACCCCGGUAGUCCACGCCGUAAACGAUG
rnacentral:rRNA from 1 species